rnacentral:tRNA from 1 species
GCCCGGGUGGUGGAAUGGUAGACACGCGAGACUUAAAAUCUCGUCUCCUUAUGGAGGUGUGGGUUCGAGUCCCACCCCGGGCACCA